rnacentral:lncRNA from 1 species
AUGGUGCUCUCCACACAACGUAUGGCGUCUCCACACAACGUAUGGCGUCUCCACACAACGUAUGGUGCUCUCCACACAACGUAUGGCGUCUCCACACAACGUAUGGCGUCUCCACACAACGUAUGGCGUCUCCACACAACGUAUGGUGCUCUCCACACAACGUAUGGCGUCUCGACACAACGUAUGGCGUCUCCACACAACGUAUGGCGUCUCGACACAACGUAUGGCGUCUCCACACAACGUAUGGCGUCUCCACACAACGUAUGGUGCUCUCCACACAACGUUUGGCGUCUCCACACAACGUAUGGCGCUCUCCACACAACGUAUGGCGUCUCCACACAACGUAUGGCGUCUCCACACAACGUAUGGUGCUCUCCACACAACGUUUGGCGUCUCCACACAACGUAUGUUGCUCUCCACACAACGUAUGGCGUCUCCACACAACGUAUGUUGCUCUCCACACAAUGUUUGGCGUCUCCACACAACGUAUGGCGUCUCCACACAACGUUUGGCGUCUCCACACAACGUAUGGUGCUCUCCACACAACGUUUGGCGUCUCCACACAACGUAUGGUGCUCUCCACACAACGUAUGGCGUCUCCACACAACGUUUGGCGUCUCCACACAACGUAUGGCGUCUCCACACAACGUAUGGUGCUCUCCACACAACGUUUGGCGUCUCCACACAACGUAUGGCGUCUCCACACAACGUUUGGCGUCUCCACACAACGUAUGGCGUCUCCACACAACGUAUGGCGGUCUCCACACAACGCAUGGCGUCUCCACACAACGUAUGGCGUCUCCACACAACGUAUGGCGGUGUGAGUCACCUACACAAUGCUCCACUUUUGCUGGGAACAACAUUCUAAACAGUAAAUUAGCGAACCUGAACACACCAGCUGCACGUACGUCUGAUGCAUAUAGAACAUUUACAUUACAAGCGUGCCCUUCUCUGGGCUCCUCUCACACCUCUGCUGGAGCAGUGGUGGGCAGACGUGUACAACAGGAAGUUGAAGCCAAGCGGGUUGAGAGGGUGCACGUUGCGUGCACGCUCCUGCGGGUGCUCACGUGUAUAGACAACCAUCGUGCGCUCUGGGUGCCGAUGGAGCGAUAA